GCCUUCGUAGUGUAGUGGUCUGCAUGCUCGACGCAUAACCGAGAGGUCCGUGGUUCGACUCCCGGCGAAGGCG
rfam:Stegodyphus mimosarum contig76998, whole genome shotgun sequence.